rnacentral:rRNA from 1 species
AUGAGCAAUCCUUGUGAGUGCAGCAGGAGAAGGGCCAAGUUCAUCAUGCAGAUGCGUGGUAACUUUAAAGACAGCAUGGUCAUACCGGCGCGUCUUGUUGACCAUUUCGGAGGAAAGAUCUCUGGGACCAUCCGACUAGAAGCACCUAACGGACAGAUGUAUGUCGUUGGAGUUGCCAAGAAGAUGAACAGAUCGGUCCUGCAGUCUGGAUGGGAGGCGUUUGUUCGUGCAAAUCAGAUACAAGACAACUGUUACUUGAUGUUUCGUAACCUUGGAAUCUCCUGCUUCAAGGUCACCAUCUUUGAUUCCAAUGGCGAGGAGAGGAUCACGUGUCGUGCCGGGGCGAAAAUUUCUGCUCAUGUUAAAAAAGCGAGCACUUAUGGUGCUGAUAUUUCGAGCAGUUCCUUUGAUGGCGCUUCAGAUUCAGAAGGUAGAAAAUCAGGAAAGGCGCCUGCGGUAAAUUCUUCUUCAGAUGAAUCAUCAGCAGAAGAUAGUCUGUCCGAAGGCGAGUCUAUGGAGUCAGAUGAUCUUCAGGGGCUCUCAAAGGAUUAUGUCUUAGCAGGGCGAUGCCAUCUUACAGAAGAACAGGAGGAUGAAAUCAAGGAGUUUGUCGCGAAAAUUCGACCUGAAACCCCUGUGCUUGUGGUGAUGAUGAAGAAGACCAAUGUGAACCACUAUCCUAAUCUGGUAAUAUCUAAGGAUUAUGCACAUGCAUACUUUCCACACAAAACUCAAGUUGUCACACUCAAACUGCCUGGGAAGAGCAAGGCUUGGCCAUGCAAAUUCCGCAUCAGACCUGAUGGAAGGGGACGCAACCUUUCUUUGCGUGAAUUUGUCCAUGACAAUUGUGUUAAGAAGGGUGAUCUCUGCCUCUUUCAACCAAUGACAGAGGUUCAGUCAACAAGGUUCACCUUUAUGGUUCAUUUGCUUCGCAAAGUUGGAAGAACUGAUAUAUGUUCAAACCAAGGAGAAGACAGUCCAUCUGAAUAUGAAUCUACCCAGUCAGAUCAUCAGGAAACUUCCUCCGAGGUUCGCUAUAUAUUGUCAAGAAGGUGCCGACUUGAUGAAGAAGACGAGGUAGGAAUUGAUGCUCUUAUUGCUGAAAUUCAGCCUGAAAUUCCGUUGCUAGUGGUUCAAAUAAUGAAGAGCAAUGUCAAUGGACCACAACCCGCUCUGAUCAUCCCGAAGCGUUAUGCAGCUGCGCACUUUCCCACUGAAAGCCAAAACAUCAUACUUACCCUCCCAGGAGUGAAGAAGAAGUGGCAUCCCCUUUUUCACGUCAGGCGAGGCAACAUUGGGUACGUCCUCUAUGGGCGGUGGUUAGAGUUCGUCCGCGACAACCGUCUACGCGAGGGGGACAUCUGCCUGCUCCAGCCGAUUAACAGGGGUGAGGGGAGAAGGUUCAUGCUGAUGGUCCAUCUGCUUCCCAAAGCAAGACGCGCCGGCAAAUCCAAGGGUGGAGACGUCGUUCGUGGCUCGAAAAUUGGCGGAACGAGCAUGAAAGCCGCCUCGACGGCAUGUGUCAAGGACGAACCAGUCGACGGAGCAUCAGAUGGUUGUGACAGACCAGGAUAUGUGGUGCUAGGCUGCAGCGCCCGUUUAACCCAGGCGCAGGAGAGGGUGCUUGCAGAGAAGGUGAAGGCAGUCCGAUCUGAAGCGCCUAUUUAUGUGGCAGCCAUGGACAAGAGCAAUCUGAGGUCUGCCCUGGACUUGGGCACCACGGGACAUGCUGCUGCUGCCGACGGACGCCUUCCAGACGGGAAGCAGACGCUGACACUCCAUCAGGCCGGGUGGAGCAAGGCAUGGCGCGUGGAGAUGCGUCACAGGCGGAUGGUCCCGGCGGGAGGGUGGCGCGAGUUCGCCGCGGACAACCGCCUGCAGGCCGGAGACCUCUGCCUGCUGGAACCGGUGGUGGACAAGAGGCUUGCCAUGGCGGUCCACAUCAUACGCAGCGAGCAGUGCCGUUAG